rnacentral:piRNA from 1 species
UAAGAGAGAAAGAUAAUCCCACUGGGUC